CUUCAGACCUGCCCCCCAGCCGGGCUUGCUCGCUGCCUCCGGUGUCCCCGCGGGACUAAACCCUACUGGCUACCUUCCCUUGCCGGCCACCAUCUGCGUGACAGUGGAGCCCUCUCGGCUUCCUCCCAGGAGGGUGGAGACUCUACAUUUUUGAUCCUUCCAGUCAACAAGGAAAGUAAUCAAGGAGUAGAAGAAUGUCAGUGAGUGGGACCUCCAGGGAGUCAGGUUCCUUCGACAAGCCCUGGGAUCAUCUUUGCAAUAUGAGAAGCAAGCACACCUCAAGACUGAAGAGGAAAAUCAAGCCUCAGUAGGAGGAAAAGGGGCGUUUAUUUUCCAUUUGUAGCCCUUGAAUCGAUUGUAAAGACAGACUGAAUCUUGGAAGUCUUGGGGCUGGAGCGAUAGCACAGCGGGUAGGGCGUUUAUCUUAAACUCGGCCAACCCAGGUUCGAUUCCCAGCAUCCCAUAUGGUCCCCUGAGAACCGCCAGGAGUAAUUCCUGAGUGCAGACCCAGGAGUAACCCCUGUGCAUUGCUGGGUGUGACCCAAAAAGAAAAAAAAAAAAACAUCUUGGAAGUCUGAAUAAACUG